rnacentral:lncRNA from 1 species
CCUGGGAGUACCGUGGGGGCGGGACGGCUGCACCUCGGAGUAGUAGUUUUUUGAGUUUAAGAGGUGGAAGGGAUCCUCCUAGCCGGAUUGCUGCAGCCUAAGCUGGGCACUGGCCGUAUCGAACCCCAGGAAGGGGAAGCGAACGCGUGGAAUUUCCGCAAACUGGACGAAAAUCCGUCUUCCACUGGAGCUGGAAAUAGACUUUGUAAAAGAUAUUAUGUAAUGGAGUCUUGGGAAGCCCGAGACGUCUCCAGCCAAACUGCUGGUGGGUUUGAGUGUUUUCAAUGGGCUAGGGCAAUAUAUUAAGAACUGGGAACCACUAAAGAUCUGAGCCUGGACAAGCAAUAAUAUGGAGGCCACUACCCAUCCUUCUUGAGACUCCAUAGGUAGACUUAGAAAUAGAAACGUGGUAAGAAAGAUUGACAGGCUUAAAAAGAACUAACUUAAAAUAAUCUGGCUGCAUGUAGUUCUUUGUCAUAGAAUUAAGUCAUAAGAGUAAAUAGGAUUCUUAAUUACAGUAACUAGUGGGCAAGUGAGAAACCUCCAAAGCUUUACCAGAUUAUCUGAGACUAGUAUUCAAGCUAGGGGUUCAGUCAAAACAUUUCUUUCCAGGAAUUCUGCAAGAUAUAAGGUGUCCAGAAGCUGAGGCAAUGCCAAUAUAUGAGAUUCUGUCAUCUUCAGGGACAAGACUAAGAGUAAAG